rnacentral:lncRNA from 1 species
AUGGAGCCCAGAAGUCUGGAUCUUCCUUUUGAGGAUGUUGAAAUGAGCCUGACUCAGAGAGAAGAUAUGCAUAUUUAUGUAUGUUUUACAAGAACAACUAACCUUGAAAAAAUGCAGAAUAACUUGGAGAGGACUGAAUUAUGCUUACUUUUCAAAUUCUCAAUACUCCUUUAUUUUCUGAGUGGUGAUUUAAAGUCCUGGGUAUCUGUUGAAGAGUCUGGGAAAUUUGACACAUGGAAUAUGAAAGAAUGGAGUUUCUUGAUGCUGCCUUUUUGUACUUCAACAUAUUUAUCAUGGGUGCUUCUUGCACAGUGGCUGCUAAAUUCAGAGUGCAGGGCCAGGAAUUUGGCUCAGUGGUUCCGCCUCCUGUCUUGUAAGCAGAAGGACCCGAGUUUGAUUCCUGGUACCAAGAAAAAGAAAGAAAGAAAGAAAGAAAUUCAGAGUGGAUGUGAUUCAGGCGUGAUUCCUUUGAAAAGACAAUGCAUAGUACUGUAUUUAGGAUGAUUGUAGGAGAUAUGUAAUAUCUAGCUUUCCCUCUUUCUGUGACUUUUAGCAUCCUUUGAUGUUUUAGUACCAAAUCAAUAAUCCAUUGGCAGUUGUAAAAUGGUGUUUUUCUAAUACUAUUAUUUAAUUUUCAUUUAUUAAUCAGAAUACCUUUAUGAAGAGAAACUUCCUUUCAUUUCCUAUUUAAUUACUUUGCAGUGCAGUUCAUUGGAAAAAUUGUUAUUUCUGUCCUCUUAUUUACAAGUUCAUAAGAUAUUGAGUUGGUUCAGUAUCAUUGUCUAAAGUCAUCCAAAUUUGAAAUAUUGUUAUGAAAUUUGAGAAUUUAUACAAUGUUUUGCAAUCCUGUGCAGUUGUAUCAUUGUUAGAUAUUACAUAUUAUAUGACUGACUUUUGUUUAAUUCUUGUGUGACUUUAUUAUCUAUGUGGGAAUGGCUUCUUCAAUAACAGUCAUUUUUUUCUUUUCUUUUGUUUUCCUGGUCCUGGGGAUUGAAUUUAGGACUUUGCGUUUGCGAGGCAGGCGUGGUGCCACUGAGCUAAAUCCCGGGUCCAAUAACAGUCAUUCUUUUUUUUUUUUUUUUUUUUAAUAACAGUCAUUCUUUAGGGAAUAGGUUUUAUUUUUCUUUCUUUUUUCUACUUUCCUCCUACAGAAAGUAAGUGGCUUUAUUCUAUUGUCACAAAAAAGAAAGAAAUGAUUACAUUUUAAAAAAUCAGACAAUACAAAAAAAGCAUUAAAAGAGAAACUAAAACUAAGUCAAAAUUCCACCACCCCAAAUUAACCACUGUAACAUUUUGGUAAAUACCCUUCCAGAAUUUUGUAAACAUAAUAUAUAGAAAUAAAAUCUUAUUUUUUGUUCUAUUUUAUGUCCUUUUAAAAUGUAAAUAUAUUUGAUGAAUCUAUUACCAUGGAAAUAGAUGUAGCCAGUAUCAUCACUUUUAAUAUAAGGAUAUAAAUGCAGAUAUAUUUAUAUAGUUUCUAUUUUCCAACUGAAAAAUAAUGCUAUAAUAAAUGACCACUUUUGUAUUAGAAAUGCAAAACAUUUCCUGACUCAUCUGUGUGUCCUUAUGAAUUUCUGAAUGAGCGGUAGAAUAGAGAAGACUGUAUCUGAUUUUCUCUCACAAAUGAGAAGCUAAUGUAUGCUUCAAUAACUUAAAGAGAUGAGAUGAAUAGUAGCAAUCAGAUUUCUUGCUUAACAAUUUGGAACUGUAAAACCAAUAAACUGCGAGUCACUGAUACUUUGAGUUGGGGGUUGUAGCUGCCAUUUAUAACCCCAUGUAUGCUGAGGAAUAGGAAGAAAUAAAACAGAGAUCUGAACCCUUUUGGAGUGUACAUUCUAGAGGAGAAAGUCAAAUAGUUGACAUUCUAGGUGAGUAAUACAGUAUGUUGGAGUGAUCUGGAAAGAAUAAAAAGAGCAGAGUGAGGUAGAUCGAGAGCACAAGUUGUGGGGAUGGAAGAUAUGGUUUUUGUGGUAUGAGAAGAGAGAGCUGUUGCCUUGGUUUUGUCAGUUUUCUAGUUAGUAGUCUGUGUUUGUAUGAAUCCUUUCUAGCUGUACUUAUUUGGAGUUCUUGGCAUUUGUGACAUUUCAGUCUGGUUUCAGUCUGUUUCUGUUCUUUUCAACUUUGAUGAAAAUACAGUGGACCCUUGACUUAUGAACUUGAUCAGUUCCCGAGGGCUGGUUGUAACUCAAGUUAGUUGUAAGUCACUACACCUGAGAUCUAGAUGUUUAUCUGUGUACAUGCUAUAGAUAACAAGAGGCAGACGAAUCAUCCAUUAACCUAAUUAACCCAAGUUGUUCCUAUGUCAGGCCAGUUAUAACUUGAGGGUCCACUGUACUCUUAUGGUUUAGUGUCUAGGUACUUAUUUAAUGGACUUUUGUGGGAGACCAGAGGAGAACUGAAGCCUACUCUGUGAGCAAAAGGAGAAUGGCUGCACUUGGGGUGAUUGCAUUUUGCAGGUUGUAGGGNNNNNNNNNNNNNNNNAGGGAAAACUGACAGCUGAGGUUAAGUUGUUUACCAGAGAAUGUACUAAUGGAUAUUGGAACGCAGAUGAAUCUUGUGUUACUUUGAUUGUGCGUGCCCAUGUUUGGGUGAAUAAAGGUAAGAUGAGUCAGAGGAGGCUCCUCUGCCUACUAAGAGGCAAGACACCCCUGGCUGCUAGCAUGUUAAGCUGACUCCUGUCUCUGUCAUUCAUCCUCCUUUGAUCCCCGGGUCAGGGAGAACAAAGUAGCAAGUCUAAGUCUCUGAGGGUCGGCUACAUGUGGUGCCCCAACAUAGGGCUUGGACAGGGCUCAGCUACAGACUGUAUAAGAUAAUUUGCGACUGGUGGAUUACUGGAUUAAUAAAUGCAUAUUCAAAUUUCUCAGACACUUUUGAGAUGAAUUUUUCUUUCCCAACUCCCAUAAUAUUGACAGAGAUGAAUAAAUGUCUAUGUGACACAUUGCCAAACAUUUACUAUGUCAAAUAGGGUCCAGCAAUUUGAGUAGGGGAAAUUUGAUAUAAAGCAUUUUAAUGAAAUCAAAGUAGUUAACUACAGAGUAAGAGAGAACACUAAAAUGUGCAGAAGUAGCU